GUGGCACACCGAUCAAUAGUAUCGGCUCUUUUUUCGUAGAUUCUGAACGAACGAGAAAUUAAAUUUUUUUUACGCCAGUCAUCGGUGUCACGGUACGAUUUUUUCGCGCCUAUAUUUUUAUUACUUUCGAGGUCAUGUAAAAACAACCCCUGCCCCCCUGAAAAUAAAACGCAAAAACGAACCCUCUCUCUGUUCGAGAGGAUUUCGUUUUCGAGAGUUUUCGUCGAGAUUUGUACAGCGUGUGUGCACGGUAGGCGGCAUUCGCAUUAGUUUGUUAUAAUGUUAUCGUUUGGUUAUUAUUUUUAUUCGUACAUUGUGUGUCGCGAACAGUGAUACACGUACCGUAUUAUAUUAUUAACACAACCGUCCGUAUAUAUUAAUAAAAACAAUAAUAAUAAUAAUAACAGAGCCAAGAGCGUUUAGCCGGGCGCACUGAUAUUUUAGCAGCGACAGA